UGUUAAAAAUUCCAUCCAUUUGUAUUGUUAAAACCUGACAUGACUGACGGAAUAAUUAGACAGUGAUACAUGACAAGCCACGUGUAAGUCAUUCUGACGUACUGGAAUCAAUUUUUAACUGUAAAAAUGGAUGACA
rfam:Gossypium raimondii Chr07_contig_1408, whole genome shotgun sequence.